AUGGGUCCCUCGCCCGGUCGCCCCCUACGUACGGAGCGCACACACACACAAUUCACUUUCGUCUCUCUCUGCUCCUGCGCUUCGACAGCCCGCGCCUCCGCUCUACUCCCGCCAUCGCUCCACCGAGGAGUGAGGGCGGGCACGACGACCCAGGCGGCGGCGGGUGUGAUGGAGGAAGCGGAGAGAGGUGGCUGGGCGGUGCCGCUCGCCGUGCGGGAGCUCAUCGCUGGCGGGGUCGCUGGUGGCGUUGCCAAGUGCGCCGUCGCGCCGCUCGAGCGCGUCAAGAUCCUCCUUCAGACUAGAAGGGCGGAAUUCCGUGGGUCUGGAUUGAUUGGAUCAUUUCAGACAAUCUAUCGCACAGAAGGUCCCUUAGGGUUUUACAGGGGCAACGGUGCCAGCGUUGCUAGGAUUGUUCCUUAUGCAGCUUUGCAUUACAUGGCAUACGAAGAGUAUCGCCGAUGGAUCAUUCUUGGUUUUCCUAAUGUUCAACAAGGGCCUGUUCUUGAUCUAGUGGCUGGAUCAAUUGCUGGAGGAACAGCAGUCGUGUCCACAUAUCCGCUUGAUCUGGUUCGCACAAAGAUGGCUUAUCAGCUGCAGGUUAAAGAUGCAGUGAACCUCAGUUUAAGAGUGCCCUCUGAACAGGUUUACAAAGGGAUCCUUGAUUGUUUGAAAACAGUAUACAGGCAAAAUGGCUUGAAAGGCCUAUACCGUGGCAUGGGUCCAUCAUUAUAUGGAAUCUUCCCUUAUUCCGGUCUUAAAUUCUAUUUCUAUGAGAAGAUGAAGACUCGUGUUCCUAAAGAGCACAGAAAAGAUAUUAUACCAAAACUUGCUUGUGGGUCAGUUGCUGGUUUGUUAGGACAGACAAUAACGUAUCCCCUUGAUGUUGUUAGGAGGCAAAUGCAGGUUCAGGCGCUCUCAUUGUCCAACCAAGUGAACAGGAAAGAAACAUUUGGAAGCCUUGCUAUGAUAGUGAAACAUCAAGGUUGGAAGCAACUGUUUUCAGGACUAUCUAUCAACUAUUUGAAGGUUGUCCCCUCGGCAGCCCUAGGGUUUACUGUGUACGAUUCCAUGAGGGAUUGGCUUAAUGUUCCAUCUAGAGAGCAAGCACCUGUGUUAUCAGAAGAUGGAAGUGAUACUGCCCCUGUUCACUCCAGUUAG
rnacentral:rRNA from 1 species